rnacentral:rRNA from 1 species
GUGAGGAAUAUUGCACAAUGAGCGAAAGCUUGAUGCAGCAACGCCGCGUGGGUGACGAAGGCCUUCGGGUCGUAAAACCCUUUUCUGGGGAACGAGAGAGGACGGUACCCCAGGAAUAAGGUUCGGCUAACUACGUGCCAGCAGCCGCGGUAAAACGUAGGAACCGAGCGUUAUCCGGAUUCACUGGGCGUAAAGCGCCUGCAGGCGGUCUGGUAAGUUGGAUGUGAAAUCUCUUGGCUCAACUGAGAGAGGCCAUUCAAUACUGCUGGACUUGAGGGCAGAAGAGGGAAGUGGAAUUCCCGGUGUAGUGGUGAAAUGCGUAGAUAUCGGGAGGAACACCAGUGGCGAAGGCGACUUCCUGGUCUGCACCUGACGCUAAGAGGCGAAAGCUAGGGGAGCGAACGGGAUUAGAAACCCCGGUAGUCC